UCAGGACGAACGCUGGCGGCGUGCUUAACACAUGCAAGUCGAACGCUGAAGCACCUUCGGGUGUGGAUGAGUGGCGAACGGGUGAGUAACACGUGGGUAAUCUGCCCUGCACUCUGGGAUAAGCCUUGGAAACGGGGUCUAAUACCGGAUAUCACAACUUCAGGCAUCUGGGGUUGUUGAAAGUUCUGGCGGUGCAGGAUGAACCCGCGGCCUAUCAGCUUGUUGGUGGGGUAAUGGCCUACCAAGGCGACGACGGGUAGCCGGCCUGAGAGGGUGACCGGCCACACUGGGACUGAGACACGGCCCAGACUCCUACGGGAGGCAGCAGUGGGGAAUAUUGCACAAUGGGCGCAAGCCUGAUGCAGCGACGCCGCGUGAGGGAUGACGGCCUUCGGGUUGUAAACCUCUUUCGCCAGGGACGAAGCGCAAGUGACGGUACCUGGAUAAGAAGCACCGGCUAACUACGUGCCAGCAGCCGCGGUAAUACGUAGGGUGCGAGCGUUGUCCGGAAUUAUUGGGCGUAAAGAGCUCGUAGGCGGUUUGUCGCGUCGGCCGUGAAAUCUCCACGCUUAACGUGGAGCGUGCGGUCGAUACGGGCAGACUUGAGUUCGGUAGGGGAGACUGGAAUUCCUGGUGUAGCGGUGAAAUGCGCAGAUAUCAGGAGGAACACCGGUGGCGAAGGCGGGUCUCUGGGCCGAUACUGAC
rnacentral:rRNA from 1 species